UCCGUAGGCGGGUAAUUAAGUCAGAGGUGAAAUCCCACAGCUCAACUGUGGAACUGCCUUAGAUACUGGUUAUCUUGAGUUUUAGUGAAGUAGAUAGAAUGUGUAGUGUAGCGGUGAAAUGCAUAGAUAUUACACAGAAUACCGAUUGCGAAGGCAGUCUACUAACUAACAACUGACGCUAAUGGACGAAAGCGUGGGGAGCGAACAGGAUUAGAUACCCUGGUAGUC
rnacentral:rRNA from 1 species